AUUUUACAUGGAGACGUAGCUUUUUGAAUGCACUCUAUUCGAAAAACAAAGGAGGCUUUGUGGAUGGAAAAUUCAAGAAACCAGAUGCUGAUUCUCCAUAUUUGUAGUCAUGGAUCCAGUGCAAAGCUAUUGUUCUCUCUUGGCUCACUAAUGCUUUAGUGAAACAGCUUCAAGGAAAUGUUGUCCAUGUAGAAACGGCAAGGGAUUUAUGACAGGAUUUAGAGGAAAGAUUCACACAAGGAAUAGCUCCAAAAGCCUAUGAGUUGAGAUGUGUUAUAGCACUGUUGUAGCAAGAAAAAUUAUCUGUUUCCUCCUAUUACAGAAAAUUGAAAGCCGU
rnacentral:misc_RNA from 1 species